rnacentral:rRNA from 1 species
AUGCUGCUAGCACAUGAAGCGCUCGCGUGCGACUCUCCCUCUCUUGUCUUUCUCCCUGUUUGUAUUUAUGCCUUAACAUUGAAAACAAUUCAAUGUAUACACUGUACGUACAAUUGCCUGCUAGAUGAAGCUCAAUGUGCAAAAUAUACUGUUUUGGUUUCAGUGGACAUCACCUACUUCCAGCGUGAGGAGGGCACCUCCUUCAGGGCGAGGUGGAUUUGGACUUCAGUGGUAGUACGAAGAGCACUUCGGGGGACACAGGGUGAACUCAGAAAAAUUCGCCGCCCCUCCCGCUGCUCGUCGCCGACUACAACGACGUGA